rnacentral:miRNA from 1 species
UGUCUUAUUCUUUGUUUUAAUGUGUGUGUGUGUGUGUGUGUGUGUGUGUGUGUGUACACACACACACAUACACACACCUACUAUGUCUGAAAUUUUUUAAA